CACACACAGGACACACAGGUGGGACUCGAACCCCCAACCCUGGAGGUGUGAGACGAACGUGCUAAUAACAUGAAAUAAGUUAAUUCCUGUUCUCACUUACAUUAUAGCAGCUACAAUCUCUCAUUCCCUCACCAGCCCUCUCUUUUCUCUCUCCGUAAUAAGAUCAGAGAUCAGCUGAGUAAAAUUCAGCUUCUCAUGUUACCAAGAAACCGUAAAGCGUAAUCUCCUCUGUCCUGAAGACGUCGAAGGUUUCAGCUUUAUCUCUGAUUGUUACGAAACACUGACACUGUAGACUUAAAUGUUACCUGAAUGUCUCCUUACAUCUCCUAACUUCACCAUGCUCCACAUUACACACAUUUCAAUCUGUUUAUGUAGAGCGUACACCGUACAAGUCCUGGUGAGUGAGCUGUUACUAUAAAAAUGAUAGCUCACAGUACUAGACUGAGAAUUAUUCCGGAGCCUCUGCCGUUCUGUAAUCUGGGAACCUGUGCUAACAUUAAAGGUCUGAGUUGGUAACGUUAACCACCUUCCUCAACUGACUUGGGGUAAAAAUGAUUUAUCCCUGAAAGAAAAAAGUCUCUAAGUUCUUAUAAAGGAGCCGCUGUAUCCGAGAGACACUUUUAGGCAAACACCAGAGACGGAGAACAGCUUUGAGAAGUGCUGAUGGUUUAUUUGUUAAGCAACCUGUCACAUCCAGAGCCUCAUGAAAUUCCUUGUGGAGCACAGACUUCCGCUCCAAGCCCUUCUGCUCACUAUCACCGUCCUACUAUCCAGCUGUAGCAUACUAAAGAGUCUCAUUUGAGCACUAUAUAGACAAGCCACAAACACUCACAUUGCGAAGUCUUGCCGUUCAUUGUCCUUGUUCAUUACUGAGCCAUGUACUCUAUCUGCUUCCUAUUUUGAUAUCUGCUUUGUAUUGUUUAUGUCUGGCUUUUCGUCUGCUACACAUAUACCUGUCUGACCUGUGUCUGUUGACUAUAAUUCUGCCAGAUGAUCUGGAUUUGUUUAAAUAAAGCUCGUAUCAGCUUUCCGAGUUACACGAUCUGGCCUUCCAGUUUAAGAGGUCUCUGACUGUGCCAGAGCCAUGAAAUAUCCAAUCUAGCGUGUUGUUUAGGAAUUAUUAUUUAGUAAGAAAUACUGCAUUGACCAGCUACAUUUUUGCUGCUAACAUUGUACUUAUAAAAAUAUUGUACUGCUGUACUUUCUACCUGUCUGCUACCUCCAUAAGUGCUAUGUCCAUCUAUGUUAAACAGACAGAUAUAUGGUGUAUAUAAAACACGUGUCUGUUUGAUAUAGGUGCGUGUAUACUGACUCCUCAAUGCAGCAAAAUAUGGACAAAAUACUUUUUUCUCUCUGAGUCUUAAUGGGUGUACUCUUUGGAAAUGUCAAAUAUAGAAAUCAAUUACAAUGUUUAUUUUUUUCUUGGAAUAAAGACUGGGGUUUUACAUUAAAUUAAUCUAGACUAAGCUAACACUGAGCAGAUUGGUCAAAUAUAAGACCUACUAAUUAACAGAAAAUAAAUGCUGUCAAUGCAGUAGAACUGAGAAGAAAAGAAAGGUCAAAUAUAAUUAUUCUUUUCGGAUGAGAAUAAUACAUCAAGCCAGCACUCCUGCGUAGCAUUAAAUAAACCAACAUGUCUGUCUGUAAUAGCAGGAUGGCACUUUUUUUUCCUGCCCUUGCUUUGCUCAUUUGAAACAGGAAGUCGUGACUGGACUCUGACAUGUAGCAGAUGGCAGCUGAAGAUUUCAUGGGUCGAGAGAAAUAAAUGUAGCGUCUCCGCUGGUUUAGGAUAAACAGCUCAGUCUCUACUGGUGCUCUGCUCACUGUCAGCUGGAGUGUGUGUUCAGGGGUCACUCCGAGGCCGAGUGUGUGUUCAAAGUUUACUGCCAGCAAAAUUGCGGGUCCAUAGAGCAGUAAAGUCUUAAGAAAUUGUUUGAAAGCCUGGAUUUUGCUGAAAACUCUAUACCAGUUAUACCCUGUGUGAUUUCAGUCAUAUUUGAAGAUUAUUUAUUGUCACACUGUAUAAGUAACACACACACUCUGCACAGUCAGUGUGAGGUCAUCAGGAGCAGCAAGUUUCAUUUUCUUUUUUGUCAUUGGAAGUGGAUUUUAUUUAUGUGGUGAACACAGACAAGCAGAGUGAUACACACAGUCAAACACAUCCCGGUGGGACUUUAGACCAUAUACGCACUCUUAUAAACGCUGCUCAACCAAUCAAAUUAGAGGACCAGAACUAACCGUGGUUAUACAGUGGAUGGUGAGUGUGUCACAUUAUUUAAUCUGAGACC
ensembl:lncRNA